CUACGGGUGGCAGCAGCCGCGAAACCUUUACAAUGCACGAAAGUGUGAUAAGGGAAUCCAGAGUGCUUACCUUCUGGGUAGGCUUUUGUUAAGCGUAAAUAACUCAACGAAUAAGUGGUGGGAAAUACCGGUGCCAGCAGCCGCGGUAACACCGGAGCCACAAGUGGCAAUCACGUUUAUUGGGCUUAAAGGGUCCGUAGCCGACUUACUAAAUCUUUUGUGAAAUUGUUUGACUCAAUCAAACAGAUUGCAAGAGAGACUGGUAGGUUAGAGACCGGGAAGAGACAGAGGUAUUCCUUGGGAAGCGGUAAAAUGCUUUAAUCCUUGGAGGACCACCAAUGGCGAAGGCAUCUGUCUAGAACGGGUCUGACGGUGAGGGACGAAAGCUAGGAGAACGAUCGGGAUUAGAUACCCCUGUAGUC
rnacentral:rRNA from 1 species